UCGCUAGUAAUCGUGAAUCAGAAUGUCACGGUGAAUACGUUCCCGGGCCUUGUACACACCGCCCGUCAAGCCAUGGAAGCCGGGAGUGCCUGAAGUGCGUGAGCGCAAGCAGCGCCCUAAGGUAAAACCGGUGACUGGGGCUAAGUCGUAACAAGGUAGC
rnacentral:rRNA from 1 species